AAUUGUGAGUCACAGAGUCCAGCCCUGUCUCCAGGACAGCUUGCCUUUGAAUCACUAUGACGUGGCUCAGCGUUACAGAUUUCCUAGUGGUGUCCAAGAAACUGACACCCAUCACUGCAGGCUGGAAAUGGCUCAACAUCAUUCAUUUGUAUUACACAUCUAAGAGCUAUAAAACAAACCCAGUGUGAAGGCAAAGUUUCCCCAUUUGUCUCCAGAAUAAGACAGACUAUUGCAAAAACAGAGCUGAUAAAACUCUGUCAACUUCAACAACUUGGUUAGAGGUCCUGAUAACAAGUGACAGCCUUAGCUUUUUACAGAGAACUUAUAGUGCCUUGGAAGCAUGUCAUGUGCAGAAUCCGCUACAGUUUCUUUGAAAAUAGCACAGUCAAACAUUCAAAAUUUAAGUGACGUUAAUGGGGAAGAGAGGAGGAGGUGGUGGUUAUAGCCAUGUCUACACUACUCUUUACAGAAGACAUAGAUGUCAGUGGUCCUUCACUCAUCUCAGAAAACAACUCACGACUCCAGCAGCUUGCAUGAUGAAACGGAAGAUCAUCAUUUGAGCUAUUCCACUGAAGUCAAGCAUGAAAUCUAUUUAGCUGGAUAGCUACCCAUUUCCUGUGACCUGCAAAAGAGAUGCCCUAUUCUUUCAGGAUCCUUGGAAUGCCACAUGCCCAGGCCCACUGGAAAACUGGGAAGGAAAACUGGAGCCACAUGCCUGGGCCCACUGAGAUUCAUCACCCUUCCCCUACAACCCUGUGUCAAGGAAACACAAAGAUAGAGUGGAUUUCAGCACCACCCAAUGCAGACGCAUGGCUGCUAGUUUAUCAGCAUAGGUCAAUGAAUGGUUUUAAGUUGCUACGGGUUUAAGAGGAUCUCUUAGUUGAUGGGAAUUUUUGAAUCUUUUUUUUGCGUGGGACCCUUUGGCAGUUUUGUAAAAUGUACAGACUAUUUCUCAGAA